rnacentral:rRNA from 1 species
GGAAAAGAAACCAACAGGGAUUGCCCCAGUAACGGCGAGUGAAGCGGCAACAGCUCAAAUUUGAAAUCUGGCCCUCGGGUCCGAGUUGUAAUUUGUAGAGGAUGCUUUUGGCGCGGUGCCUUCCGAGUUCCCUGGAACGGGACGCCUUAGAGGGUGAGAGCCCCGUACGGUUGGACACCAAGCCUCUGUAAAGCUCCUUCGACGAGUCGAGUAGUUUGGGAAUGCUGCUCUAAAUGGGAGGUAAAUUUCUUCUAAAGCUAAAUAUUGGCCAGAGACCGAUAGCGCACAAGUAGAGUGAUCGAAAGAUGAAAAGCACUUUGAAAAGAGGGUUAAAUAGCACGUGAAAUUGUUGAAAGGGAAGCGUUUGCGACCAGACCUCUCCCCGGCGGAUCAUCCGGCGUUCUCGCCGGUGCACUCCGCCGGGCUGAGGCCAGCAUCGGUUCCCGCGGGGGGACAAAAGCGGGGGGAACGUAGCUCCCUCGGGAGUGUUAUAGCCCUCCGCAUAAUACCCUCGCGGGGACCGAGGACCGCGCUUCGGCAAGGAUGCUGGCGUAAUGGUCGUCAACGACCC